rnacentral:rRNA from 1 species
UUAUGGCUCAGGACGAACGCUGGCGGCGUGCCUAACACAUGCAAGUCGAGCGAGGAGAUCCUUCGGGAUGAUCCUAGCGGCGGACGGGUGAGUAACACGUGGGCAACCUGCCUCAUAGAGAGGAAUAGCCUUCCGAAAGGGAGAUUAAUACCUCAUAACAUUGCAGUUUCGCAUGGAACAGCAAUUAAAGGAGUAAUCCGCUAUGAGAUGGGCCCGCGGCGCAUUAGCUAGUUGGUGAGGUAAUGGCUCACCAAGGCGACGAUGCGUAGCCGACCUGAGAGGGUGAUCGGCCACAUUGGGACUGAGACACGGCCCAGACUCCUACGGGAGGCAGCAGUGGGGAAUAUUGCACAAUGGGGGAAACCCUGAUGCAAGCAACGCCGCGUGAGUGAUGACGGCCUUCGGGUUGUAAAGCUCUGUCUUCAGGGACGAUAAUGACGGUACCUGAGGAGGAAGCCACGGCUAACUACGUGCCAGCCGCUGC